rnacentral:rRNA from 1 species
AGCACUUUAUACCGUGAAACUGCGAAUGGCUCAUUAAAUCAGUUAUCGUUUAUUUGAUAGUACCUUACUACAUGGAUACCUGUGGUAAUUCUAGAGCUAAUACAAGCUAAAAACCCCGACUCCGGGAGGGGUGUAUUUAUUAGAUAAAAAACCAAUGCCCCUCGGGGCUCCUUGGUGAAUCAUAAUAACUUAACGAAUCGCAUGGCCUUGCGCCGGCGAUGGUUCAUUCAAAUUUCUGGCCUAUCAACUUUCGAUGGUAGGAUAGUGGCCUACCAUGGUGGCAACGGGUAACGGGGAAUUAGGGUUCGAUUCCGGAGAGGGAGCCUGAGAAACGGCUACCACAUCCAAGGAAGGCAGCAGGCGCGCAAAUUACCCAAUCCCGACACGGGGAGGUAGUGACAAUAAAUACUGAUACGGGGCUCUUUUGGGUCUCGUAAUUGGAAUGAGAACAAUCUAAAUCCCUUAACGAGGAACAAUUGGAGGGCAAGUCUGGUGCCAGCAGCCGCGGUAAUUCCAGCUCCAAUAGCGUAUAUUAAAGUUGUUGCAGUUAAAAAGCUCGUAGUUGAACCCUUGGGUCUGGCUGGCCGGUCCGCCUCACCGCGAGUACUGGAUCCCGGCUGGACCUUUCCUUCUGGGGAACCG